GAUGAACGCUAGCUACAGGCUUAACACAUGCAAGUCGCGGGACCGGCGCACGGGUGAGUAACGCGUAUCCAACCUGACCUUCACCACGGGAUAACCCGGCGAAAGGCGGACUAAUAACGUAUGGUGAGGGUUGGGGAUGCGUCCGAUUAGCUUGACGGCGGGGUAACGGCCCACCGUGGCUACGAUCGGUAGGGGUUCUGAGAGGAAGGUCCCCCACACUGGAACUGAGACACGGUCCAGACUCCUACGGGAGGCAGCAGUGAGGAAUAUUGGUCAAUGGGCGUAAGCCUGAACCAGCCAAGUAGCGUGCAGGACGACGGCCUAUGGGUUGUAAACUGCUUUUAUGCGGGGAUAGGUACCGCAUGAAUAAGGACCGGCUAAUUCCGUGCCAGCAGCCGCGGUAAUUC
rnacentral:rRNA from 1 species